AUGACCUCCCGGAAGAGGUAAGACCUGAAGAUUAAGAUCAGCCAUGCAAACAGAUAGGAGGAAAUGUUCCCAAGAAAAGAAGCAGAGAAAAAGCACAACGGCUGUCACAGGCAACAAUGUUCUUUCUCGCCCUUUCAUCUGCAGGCAGAUGAAUCAAUAAAAUAUGAAGACAAAAGUGCUCCAUGUUCUGGCCAAGGAUGAAUGUUCACCAACAGAUAUUCCUGAUUGUAAAGGGAAGCAUUUCAUCUCAGGGCCCAGAUCCCAGAGACGAUUAUUGAUGAAUCUGGAAAUACCAUCAAGAAUAAAACACUCUUCUCCCAGU